CCCUUAGACGUUCUGGGCCGCACGCGCGCUACACUGACGAAGGCAACGAGCUUUCCUUUACCGAAAGGUACGGGUAAUCUUUUGAAACUUCGUCGUGCUGGGGAUAGAUCCUUGCAAUUUUUGAUCUUAAAUGAGGAAUGCCUAGUAAGCGCAAGUCAUCAACUUGCGUUGAUUACGUCCCUGCCCUUUGUACACACCGCCCGUCGCUACUACCGAUUGAAUGGUUUAGUGAGGCCUUCGGAUCCGCGACUCGUUUGUGGAGAAGUUGGACAAACUCAGUCAUUUAGAGGAAGUAAAAGUCGUAACA
rnacentral:rRNA from 1 species